AAUCAACGUCAUUGACAGGCGUCCUUAUGUGCAGCCAUCGUUGUUGUCAUAGAUAUGAAUGAGUAGAUAGGACACGCCCCUUUGAGCUGCGGCUACAGCGAGGCUAAGCUAGUGGGGGCGAAGUUUCAGUGCAUUCCGUUGAUGUAGACGGCGUGAAAACGGAAACAACAAGUAUGCCGGCUAACUGUGCUGCAUACAGUUACACACUACGUCGUACGAUUGAGACAAGGAAACUUGGAAUGACUUUUCAUAGGUUUCCCAGAGACUAUGGGUUGAAGAGGAAUUGGAAGUUUGUCGGCUUAGACCUGGUGUCAUUCCAUCAGUGUUAAACUUCCCGGCUCAUCUUGGAAGAGUAUGUGCCAGAAAGACCACGACCAGGCAGCCUUGAGAUCUUAGGCAGCGUCUCCCUGAGGUCCCUCUCUGUCUCCCCACACAUCCACCAACCACUGGAACACAUCUCCAAAGUUCUGCCGGGCCACCUCAGCUUCCCCUCAGAACAAGUGCUGCCACCUGCCAGAUGAAGGAGCCUUUUGAGAGGCAGCUGGCAUCGUGAUUGGACUGUACUUUGGUCUGUUCCAAUCCAGCUUCAGCUCCAGAGACGGCAGGCGGGACGAGUCAACGGAGGCCGGAUGGACGAAGGCAUGCAGCUGAGUACAAUCCAGAAAACAACAGAGGAGGAGUGCAGGGCCAGAACAACCAGAGUAGCAUCGUAUGUCUCUUAGAAAACAUCAUAGUAGAGCCUUUGAGAUGAAAAAACGCCAUCAUAUACAUCGUAUAUUGUACAAAUAACAAGUCAAAGGAAAGAGACAUACAUUGUAGAAUUGUAGUAAUUGUGGGCUGACUGAUUUACUGAUUAUCAGUAUUUUAUUUUUUACUGAUUUACGGUAAUAAAUACAUUUAAAAAUGGUGCUACUUUGGCUCUGAACCUUAAUCUACCUGUGGUCGCUCUGUCUUCUGGAGUGAUUUGAUUGGUUAUACGUCACGAAUAAAACUCCUUUAACUUAACAUCUGUAAACAAAACAAAAAC
ensembl:lncRNA